rnacentral:rRNA from 1 species
UGCCUACGGGGCGCAGCAGUGAGGAAUAUUGGUCAAUGGGCGGGAGCCUGAACCAGCCAAGUCGCGUGAGGGAAGACGGUCCUACGGAUUGUAAACCUCUUUUGCCGGGGAGCAACGGGGUCCUUGCGAGGGCCCGAUGAGAGUACCCGGAGAAAAAGCAUCGGCUAACUCCGUGCCAGCAGCCGCGGUAAUACGGAGGAUGCGAGCGUUAUCCGGAUUUAUUGGGUUUAAAGGGUGCGCAGGCGGCACGGCAAGCCGGCGGUCAAAUCGCGGGGCUCAACCCCGCCCAGCCGUCGGAACUGCCG